AUGUGCAUGUGUGUGAGCGUGCAUGUGUGUGUGUGUGAGUGUGCAUGUGUGUGUGCGCGCGGCCUGUGUGUGUCUGGAGUGUCUGGGGAAGGAGGGAUUGCGCGAGCGCGCUGCGCCUGAGAUGAGACUGAAGAAGGAAGGGAACGUGGGUGUGUCCGGUUCCCAAAUGAAGCCUGGACUGGUCUGCAAGGAGUGUCCGGAGCCCACUAGCCCUGCAACCAGCUAGGGUGGGGUGGGGUGUGUGAGCGUGCUGGGGGAGGGUCCGAAGUGUGUCAUAGAGCCAGGAGGCUGGCGCUGGGCAGGGGGCGCCCCCUGAGGUACCCUGGGUCUGCGCGGUAGUAACUGGCUGAAAGGUCCCGCACCCCUGCGAUCUGGGGGUGGGCUGGGCUGAGGGGGUUCAUGGGGGUGGUGCUGCUGGCAUCCUGGGGCCAGCUGGGGUCGGAUUGGUGUCAUUUUAGCCUCCGCCCUUCUCCCAAGUUUUUCUUCCCAGCUCUGCUGCUGUUUAACCUCUCCUGCCCUGCAGUGGGAUAGCAGCUGGAAUAGCUCUCAGGAGACCCGCCUAGGUCAUCGGAUUCAGUCUGGGGCAGAGUGUGUGGAACGCGGAGAACUCGGGAAAGCUUGCGGUUACCACCUCUGUCCAAAUGGGGGGCGGGGGGGGGCGGCAAAGGUGAAAUUUCCUGGAUCCAGUCUUUCCCCUUAGGCAUUCUUCGCCCCUGCUAUUGGAGGCCCCUAUGGGUUACAAGUAGCUGCAUGCAAGCCAUCAAUGGCUGGCUGAAGCCAUCCCAGACAAACUCUUCUUCACAGAUAUCUUGGGCACUUCUGUUUGUUUCAUUUCUUAUAAAUUAUUGGAAAAGCUUAAAGAUUCAAAGGCUUCAACCAGUGGCCAUGGCAUGGGAGGGUUUAGGCCUCUUUACAAAAUAUAUCAGACCACAGUUUAAACCUUCUUAGAGUAGGCCCUCAAAUAAACACAGCAUCUAAACACAAGCUUAUUCUUGCUAUGUUGCAAGUGCCGUUUUCAAGCUGGGCGGUGACACAUCUGGUAGAAUACACACGUUUCCACUCCGUGGACCCAGGUUCAAGCCCCUAGUCUGCUGUAGGGGAGGAAGUUUCAUGUGUGGGGCAGCAGUGCUGCCAAUCUCUCUCUUUUCUCUGUCUCUCCCUCCCAUCUCAUUUUCUUUCUAUCCAGAUGAAUAAGUAAAUAAAUAAAUAGUUUUACUUAAAAAAAAUAGGGGGUCAAGCAGUGGUGUGCCCAGUAAGCAUGCAUAGUACUAAAUGCAAAGGCCACUCAGGGAUUGGGUUCGAGCCCCUGGGUUCAAGCCCCUGCUCCCCACCUGCAGGGGGUGGGGUGCUUCACAAGUGGUGUCUCUCUCCCUCUUUAUCUCCCCACCUCUCUCAAUCUCUUUCUGUCUUAUCUAGUUAAAUGGAAAAAAAAAAUAACCACCAGGUGCAGUGGAUUCAUAGUAGUGCCUCCACUGAGCCCCAGUGAUAACCCUGGAGGCAAAAAAAAAAAAAAAAAAAAAAAAGUAAAGAAAAAGAGAAAUACUAUCUUGAGGCAUACUUUCCAGCACAGUCACCUCUGGUAUAGAAAUCUUGGAUCCUUCCCAAAGAGUUGCACAAAUCAGAGUUGAAAUCAGCAAAGCACAGAAAGCCCAAAACCAGCAGUUUGACUUCAGGAAGGAGCCAGCUCAGGGAUGACACGCAGGGGACCGCUGAGGCCACUAGCCGCAGCUCUGUGUGGUGCAUGCUGGGUGGCACAUGGUGCAGUUUGGGGUGGCACAGGUAGAGGUUGUCAGUGAAAUGGUCGGAACACUCUAAAGUAACAGUACCCUGGUAUAAGGAACAACUACCAGGGAGUCCUCUAACUGGUGACCAUUUAGCUUUGUGGAGCACUGUGCCCAACCAGAGGCUGAACUGCAAGGUAUUGAGGAAGAAGCUUCACCUGCCUUGCUUGCCCUGUGACAUGAUGCUUGACCCCAAUACACAUCCAGAGACACACAUGAACUAAACGAUUGGCUUCUUCCCAUUCUGAUCGACCCCACCCCCGCAGAAGUUCCCAGUCACAAGAACACCCAUAAUCAUUUGCUUUGACAACUAGGAAUGGAAUUGCAAACUCACACAAGUCCUUCAUCCAACUUCUGAUUUUACAGGUGUUUCCUGGACAGUCGGUGCUGGGGACAUUUGCCCAGACCUCUUGAGAAAAGCUUAUCCAACUCAGUGGAAGGACUGCAGAGGCUUCUAGAAGUUAUUCACAAGGUUCAGCUUCCUGAUACUCUGACCGCGUAGGAUCGACCCAGAGUCUGUAUGUUUCACAGCUCCCUGGUCUGGGCUGCAGGAGAGAUCGAUCUCAAGAUAAUUUGGGCCCAGAGAUAAGCUUCUCCAGGACCAGGUGGUGGUGGCCCUGGUUGAGUGCACGUUACAGUAUGCAAGGGCCUGGGUUCAAGCCCCCGGUCCCCAUCUGCAGGGG